GUUAUGUAGCUUAUAGAAUUCCAGCGUAAUUACAGCAUAUAUAAUGUAAUUAUUUGUUUGUGAACACAAAAGCAAAUGCACCAAUUGCAAUUUGGUUGUUUGCUUCCAAGUUCCUUUUUUUGCUGAUUCAGAUUUUUUUUUCUAAAAACUAUAACUUACAGCAUAUACAAACAAACUUUUCAACUUUUCUCAAAGUAAAAUAUUAUUUUCAUACUAAAAGAAAUAAUUAAACUUCCUAAAUCCCCCAAAUUGCAUUAAAUAACAGGAUCUUCUCUUUUUUUAAACAGUGAAAAGAGGUACAAAUAAUUAACAGAAAUGAGUUGGUAUAUACCCACUGUUAUCUGACAUAUCUUAACUUACCAAAAGUAAGCAGGUGGAUUUAUAUAACAAAACAAAUAUCAGGUAGUUGCAUUAUUUCCAGUAUGUUUAUAAAUUUACCAGAUAAAAUUAUGCUGACCUCUCUUUCUUUAACAUUUUUUUUAAUUUUCAUAAUUUUUCUUGUAACAGAGCAGCUUCUGGUUGGCUCUGAGCUCUGAAUAGCGUAAGGCUGUUCCAAGUAGAUGGUCCCUGGCCAAGCCAUUGUUGCAUCUUUAAUUAAUUAGUUGCUUACAAUUUGGUGUUGUGUAAGUAAACCUUUUUAUGGGGUAAUUUAUCAAAAUAAAUUCGUGCUCUCUAAGUAUGUCCCAGUCCAGUGUAUCACCUUAACUUUACAGUGACUGUUAGCUGUCCAGAGUACUACUCGAAGUGAAGAUGUAGUAUGCUAGCUCAAGAAGCAUUUUGAGUAGACAUGCAGUGAGAGACAAUACCACAGAUGUGCCGUUGCAAAAGCUACCAACUGCCUGGAUAACAUACACAGUAAUCAUGCUGCGUGCACAAGUCGGGUAAAGUCUGCUGUUUUGUCUUGAUGUUAAAAGUGAGGCUUGUAAAAAAAAACCUUUAGAAGAGCCAAUUCUGUGCUUUUAACCAGCAUUUCAAAUACUUUCCAGUGUGUUACUAAUGAUUACCUCAAGAAUGAUGUUUGAAACACAUAUUUUGUGGCUUGUAGAAUUUGUGCUGUGUAACAUCACCAUGUUGAGGUACAAGGGGGAAUGAAUUGAGCAUUGUUACUCUCAGCAAAUGGAGAUAAAAAUAACCCCCCAAAAUGAGGAUCUGUACAGUCUGUGGAUAUUAAAGAGGGUGUACUAUGCUCAUUAUAUAUAUAUGCAUAUGUAGACGCAUUAGUGUUAAAAUAUUGGAUUUUCAUAUUAAACAUGUUUAAAGUGUUUAAAGUAAAUACACUGAUGCCAGUGUAUUUACAAGUAAUUUUUAUUUACAAGUAAAACCUCUGGCUUCACAUUGUACAGUUUCACACAGCUUUUUUCUACUCUUAGCUCUUUAUUAUCUCAGUGAGUACAGAUAUCUCCAAUAAGGUCAUCUCAGGCACACAGCUCUAGUCUCCCAACCCAUAUGGUGUUCAAACCUGUUUGCAAGGAGCAGCAAAUCUAAAGAAAGUUGGCUGUUCUUCAGACAGAGGAUAAACUUAGUGCCUGCACCUACACCCAGCAUAAAAGAAAUAGUAUAAUCUAUUAUGAUUGAAGAAUAAAAAUGAGAAUCUGGAAAUGAGCAGACUGUGCUAUUACUAUUGCUCUCAGCAGCUUGGUUGCUGGCAAAUAUGAAGUGUUGUCAGAAUCUCCAAGUAAGAAAUACAUUCCUUCCCACGCACUGCUGACUCUGUUGUGCUUGUUCCAGGUCCAUUGUGUAACUGACGCCACCAACAUUAACAGGACGCUUACAUUAGAGACUUGUAUUUUGCGUUUUGUUUGGGUUUCCAGGUUUGGGUUUGCGGGGAAUUGCCAAAAUUAGAGACGGGACAGCCUGUGAAACAGGAAAUGACUGCAGUGUAAUCCAUUUAUUUCAACACAGUAACUGUAUUCUUAUUAUCACUUUUUUAAACAGUAACUGUAAUGGAAUACAGUUACUCAUAUUUUGUAUUUUAAAUACAUAACGCCGGUACAUGUAUUCCAUUACUCUGCAACACUGCUCUUGGCAAGAAAGGGUGUAUUUCACAAAAUACAUACCUGUAUUUUGAACCAUAGUAUUGGAACGCAAAAAAGAACAACAAGCAAUCUGAACUCAACUGUCAUGACUUUUCAGUGACAAUUUGUGUGCAUUUUAUAGGGAAUUAAUUGCAUCUUAACUGGGUGCUUAGGGCUCAAUAGAUAAUCAAAUGGCCACAUCAGACUAUAACUUUCUGUUAUAGAAAGCAUAUAAAGAUGGAUGGAAUACCCAUUAUCACUUCCUGCCUUUUUAGCCCAUGUCUUUGAGUGUAACUAGCAUGACAUUACCAUAGUAUUGUAGCCACAACUUGUGCCUGACCCAAAUGGUAGCUCACUUGAUAACAGUAGUUUAUUGUUGUAUAUCUAAAAUGCUGUGUCAGCCAUAAGAGAAACUAUUAAAAAAUGUUAAAAAGUCCUCCAAUGUUUUUAUGUACAAUAUCUAAACAGAUGCUAAAACAUGUCUACAUUACUUAUUUGUUCAAAGGAGCUACCUGUCACUUUCAGUCAUCAGAUACCUUUUUUUAGAAUCAAGCAACUAAACAGUGACAAAAUAUCACAGUGAUGCGUAAAAGUCAAUUUGACUACAUAUUUGCUACAAUUGAUAAAAUAUGUUUUAGUCAGGCUCAUAUCCUCUAUGCUAACAAGAAUAGGGAGCUGUGAUGUUGUCCAUCUUAAUGUCUAUGCCUUGCAGUAUUAAAAAUUACUUCUACUGGCAAAAACCCACUUUAUGUGUGUUUUUUGCAAGGACUGUGGUGCUUUUUCAGUUCCGUCAUUCCAAUUCCAUCGCAGGUACAAUUUUUAGUGACCAUUAACUUAAGGGCAAUAUACAUAAAAAGUGAUAAGUGAAAGAAAUGCAAACGGAAGAUGUAACAUUGCAUUCAAAGGGGGAUAAUGAAAUGAACGUCCUGUUUAGAAAUAUCAAAAUAAUUUACAUUUAGAAUAAAUAAAUGCUAAAAUAAUUGCUCUUUGUGACAUUUUUCAUUCAGAUUGGCCCAUCCUUUAAGGAGGAGAUAGGGUGCAUAUAUACAUACAUAUAGUGGAGGAAGUCAUUGUUUGAGCCCCUGCUAAAUGUGUAAGUUUACUAACUUAAAAAACAAAUGAACUGUAGUAGUAGUAAUUUCAUUUUAAUGGACAGAGAAAAAUAUCAACCAAAAUCCAAAAAACAUGAAAAUUAUGGUUUGAGUGAAAUAAGUAUUUGAUCCUCAGGCAAAACAUGACUUAGUACUUGGUAAAGAAGCCCUUAUUGGUAGAUGUAGUUGUGAGAUGUUUUUUGUAGUUGUCACCAGGUUUGUGCAUUGUAGCAAGUGUGACCCACGCUUGGCAGUGUAAUUACAGAGUCUUCAUUUACAAUGUGCAUUGUAAUCUUGUGCUUGCGUGAGCAGCUUUCCAGCUUCUGGUCACUUGGCAGUGCUUCUUGCCCUCGCUCUUCUUGCUACUGCUCUCCUCAGCUACUGCAGAAAAAGUGGAUGCAUGAUUAUGAUGAUAGGUCCUUGCUGUGUCUGCCAGCCUCCCCUGACUCUACACCCUUACCCCGCUGCACCAUCCCUCCUCUACGGCAGAGCCAAAGACAACACCCCGCCACACAAACAUCUCAGGAGUGAUUAUGGCCCAGAAAUUUUCUAAAUCCUUUAGGUUUUUGGAAACUUGAAGCUUUAGCUGCCUUCACUGAUUUUCUAUAGGACUGACAUCUGAAAACUGGCUAGGCCACUUCCUGACCUUAAUAUGCUUCUUUUUUUAGCCACUUCUUUGUUGUCUUGGCUAUAUGUUUGGGGUAUUUGUCAUGCUGGAAGACCCAUCCACGAUCCUUCAGUGUUCUGGCUUGGGAAAGGAUGUUCUUGUUCAACAUUUUACAGUACAUGGCCUGCCAAUUGGUUCCUUAAUGCAGUGAAGUCAUGCUGUAACCUUAGCAAAAAAAAAACAGCCUUAAAGCAUAAUGUUUCCAGCUGCGUGCUUGACUGUGGGGAUGGUAUUCUUUGGGUCAACAUCUUUCUUCCCUGAAACGCUCAAUUUUAGUUCUAUAUGACCACUGGAUUUGGACUGAUUCUUAUAUAGCACUUUUCUACUUUCCUAGAGCACUCAAAGUGCAUAAUACAACAAGCCACAUUCACACAAGCACUGUCUUCUAUGCUUUAAGUGCUUUCUAUCUAAGCAUUCACACACAUUAAUAUGAGCUUGGGGUUAGGGUUAGGAUACUUAGCAUGCAGACUGGGGCAGCAAGGGAUGAAACCACCAGCCUUCCAAUUAGUAGCUGACCUGCUCUACCUCCUGAGCUACAGCCACCCCACUUUCACCUGACUGUUCCCAGAAUCAUUUAGAAGUGUGCAAACUGCACAUGUGCUUUCUUGACCAGGGGGGUCGUGUGGGCUCAGCAAUAUUUUAAUCCAUUACAGUUUAGAGUGUUAUCAAUGGUGUUCUUGGCGACUGUGGUCCCAACUGCCUUCAGAUCGUAGUCUUGGGUCAUGAUCAUCCUUACCUAUUAAGGCAAGAUCUUACAUGGAGACCGAGAAUGACUGAUAGUCGUUUUAUAUUUUUAUUCCAUCACACCAGCAGCUUUCUCACAAAGCUUUUCCUGAAGGCUUUGAGAUCAGAAAUUGUAAUGUUUGAUAGACUGAAUAUAGUCUUUGUGCUACAUGGGCACAUAACCAAUCUGUGGAGGCCAGAAUUCUGGCUGUAGGUUAUAGGGGAUCAUUUACCUAUUCCACUAAAUGAUAUGCUAUUCAAUUUAUAACUUUUAAGUAAUGGAGUUGUCUGGAUUUUUGAUUGAUAUUCUGUUUCUCCAUUAAAAUGCAACUACAAUAAAAAUUAGAGACUGUUCAUUUCUUUGUAAGUGAGCAAACCAAAUUCAACAGAGGAUCAGAUCAUUAUUACCCUGAAUAUACUGUAUGAACAUUAUUGUAAGAAUAUGGGAUUCUGAUUGAUAUGAUUGAUAUGAUGAUGUUGCUUUAAUGCGUCAAUUAGUAUUUGGAAAAAAAGGAGCAUGGUUUGCAAAAUUUGGCAAAGCAUCCUUAGUUUUACUGAGUUAAAGCACAGGAGAGGCAUAUAUAUCUAUAUAUAUAUAUAUAUAUAUAGAUAUAUAUAUAUAUAUAUUUAUAGAUAUAUAGAUAUAUAUAGAUAUAUAUAGAUAUAUAUAUAUGAUAAUUUCUAGAUGGGACCUGUAUUACCAUUGUAUUACCUAUGCUGUAUUGCAUUUGCAUGUUUUGUAUCCGUGAAUUUUUUGUGCUGUGAUUGAUGUUGUUCUCAAUUCCUGUUUCUAUCUCUAUUGUUUUGUUAUAGAGCCCUUUCUAUAGAAAAACUUGAAUUGUUUUAAAUUUAUUUUUGUAUCACUUUCUGUGCGGUUCAUUAAAGGAGACACUAGCAAAUGAGAUGUUAAUGCCUUAAUCUGUGUACUUCAAGUUGGUUUUUAAUCUUGUGUGUCUGUUUUUAUUGUAAAUAACACUGAACAUUGCUAAUUUUGUUUUGAUAAAUUCUCUACUAAAUGUAAUAAAAAUAUUCUAACUGAGA
ensembl:lncRNA